CCUACGUGCGGCAGCAGGGAGGAAUAUUGGUCAAUGGGCGCGAGCCUGAACCAGCCAAGUAGCGUGAAGGAUGACUGCCCUACGGGUUGUAAACUUCUUUUAUAAAGGAAUAAAGUGAGGCACGUGUGCCUUUUUGUAUGUACUUUAUGAAUAAGGAUCGGCUAACUCCGUGCCAGCAGCCGCGGUAAUACGGAGGAUCCGAGCGUUAUCCGGAUUUAUUGGGUUUAAAGGGAGCGUAGAUGGGGUGUUAAGUCAGUUGUGAAAGUUUGCGGCUCAACCGUAAAAUUGCAAUUGAAACUGGCAGUCUUGAGUACAGUUGAGGUAGGCGGAAUUCGUGGUGUAGCGGUGAAAUGCUUAGAUAUCACGAAGAACUCCGAUUGCGAAGGCAGCUUACUAAACUGCCACUGACAUUGAUGCUCGAAAGUGUGGGUAUCAAACAGGAUUAGAUACCCUUGUAGUC
rnacentral:rRNA from 1 species